GAAGACUCCAGAAUCCACUCUGGCUGGAAUCCGGUGGAUACAGCAGUGUUACAGAUUUCAGAAGAGCAAAGAUGAGGACUCCUACUUCAUCCUUAAUAGUUUAACUGGAUUGGAAAUCAAAAAAAUCCUGAUUCUUCUUCCACAGAAGUUUCAUUUGUCAGUGUGGGACUGCUGAGUCACCUGAAGAAGUCAUUUCAUUCUCCACGAUGCUGAUUUACAGAAAUGUUUCACAGGAACUGAUUCCUCCCAAAGGGUGAACUAGUGUGUUUCCAUAGAUUAUCUCUGUAUGAAUGUACUUCUUGAAUGAAGGCAAGUGUUUGUCCUGUUUUGUUCCUCAGGUACUGUACGUGAUAUUAAGGGCAGGCGGUCAUCACCGGGGGAAGACAAGAAGCAGACGUACUUCAAAGAGGGAGCUGCAGUGAGGACACAGCCUGGUCACUGAGGUCAGAGGAGGCACUGAAAGGUUUCCCUAAUAGUUCCUGGUGAAUCAAAGCAGAACCAUAAAGGUUGCUGGACUGCAUGAUGGCCUUACCCCUGAGCAGUCAUCCUGUUAAAGGAGGAACCAGUUAGAAGCUGUUUUCAAAGUAGCUGAGCAGAUUUCAUCUCAAUAGAUCAAAGCAGCUCGUGCUCUGUCUGCUUCCAUUCUGAUGGCAAGAAGAAGAAGAAUGCUUCAGCGAAGUGGCGUUCAUGGUCUCAGUGGACAGUCAUGGUCACACACUGCAUGUGGUUUUAAAAGCAACAUGUCUGUUCACCACAACAAUGGAGAUGUGUAAUAUUAGUGCAGCUACGGUUUGUUCUUGAACAUCAGUUCUGUUUUCUACUUUGACCACUUAGACCAAAGAAGUGUUGUUUUCAGAUUCUUUCUUAUAAAUCUGUAAAUCACCUGUUCAUUUUUAUUACAAUUAGUUUCACAUAAAUGUUAGUGUUUCCUUUAUGGUCUUUAAAUGCUUACACUAGACUGUACACGUCUACAUUAGAGACAUUUCUGUUACCUAUUUAUGAGAGUGGGCUGCUUUACUACAAUUUGGAAAUGGAUGCAAAAUCGUGCUAUUGUUUGUUUUUUAAUAUGAUUCAAUUCAAUAAAACUUUAUUGAUCCUGAAGGUUGACCCCGAGGGAAAUUUGGGUUAAGGCCAACACUGGAGGUAUCUGACUAAGCAAAGAUGAAUCUGAUCCCAUUUCUACCUGUCUCUACUGUUUCAACUGUAACUGUCAGGAUAUAUAUUUAUUCCAGCUCUCACAGGACAAAGAAAUGACUCAGACUUGUCAAAUGUUCUUUGAUUUGAUACACAAUUUGAAGUUCACAAUUUUCUUACAAAUAAAACUAUAAUGACAAACAUGAACAGCUGUGCUUAUUUCUGAGACAUGAUUUUUUUUGAACGUGUUCACAUUUAGACAGUGUACAUCUGUAUGCUGAAACUGUAAUGGUGAACCUGAGGUGAUGGUCAGCAGAAGGCAAACAUAUAUAAAUAGAAAACAAUACUGAAGUAAUGUCUUUACCCUCUGCAGCGUGUGGACGCUGUGCACACAAUCACCUUAUUCACUGUAGUAAACAUGCACCGCUAGCUCACGUGACUGACUGUCUCCAUGGUUACAUCGUAUAUUGUUAGCUAUGUAAACAGCUUCCAAAGAUACCGCCAUAGCUCUCUGCAGCUGUAACACUUUCAUGCUUUACAAAUCAUUUCACGUUUUUGAUAGUUAUGAAGACAGAAUAUGUUUUUAAAGUCAUGCUAGGCGGUUGCUAUGGUGGUUGCUGUGGACUAGGGUGGACCGCGUCCGAUUCCUGUUAUUAGCUGUCCGCCGUAGGAAGGCUGCGUUCCGUUUAGAAGUAGCGACAGUCUGCCGUAACUCGAACUCAAACCCCGCUUUGUUCUUUAAUUAAAGGGCUUUUACAGCCGUUCAUGACACGCACACACACACAUAAAGCACUUUGCCUCACCAUGAGAAUGCAACUUUACUAAAACCUUUAAAGUAUCUGAGAUAGGAUAGAAAAAUGAAGCAACCAGAGAUUUAAUGGUGAAGACUCUGGGUUCUGUAGUUCACGUUUUACAGUCCUGAAUGACUCACUGCACAUCCAUAUAAUUUAUUGAAGAGGAGUUUAAAAUGCACUUUACAUUUACACUGUUCCUGUUUAAUUUUUUACAUUGUUACUGUGUUAUGUCAUGAAUAAGGUUCACCUGCUGGGGGUUUGAUGGAUCAGCUGGACAAUACAGUCAAAGACAGACUUCAUUCAUCAUAUGCAAGAAUCCUAGUUGGAUUUUUGUUUUCACUCAUAUUUUAGAACCAAAUAUUGAAAACAACUGUGACAGACUGGAUACCUGGUCAGGGUGUACAUUACCUUUCACUCAAGCAUCCCAGGACAGAGCCCUGCCCCACCAUGAGCCUGGGUGGAUACGUGGUUAUAAUAUAAAAUGACUGAUAUUGAAUAUGAAUAUUUCAUGAAUUAUAAUACAAAUUCCUAGACAUUUGUUCCAGCAAGAGUAAUAUUGAUUACAUAUGUCUGAAUUGCUAACCCUAACCCUAGCUCAACAGACCACAAUGCCCUGGACUGUCAGUAUUAUUACAUGCUGUGAACAUAAGUAGCUUUGAUCACAGUUUAUGUUGUAAAAGAGAAGGAAUAUUAAAAAAAGAUCAACAUUGUGAUAUUAUUUCUUCCAAACUGACCAGAAACAUGCUUGUCAGACUCUCACAGCACAGGAUCAGACUCACUGUGCAUGACGGCUCAGGCCAAUAAUGUCUGUUAGAUUGUCAGUUGUUUAGUGCUUCUGUACAGUUAUGGUCACCAUCUCUAUUUCAGUAUAAUUAAUAUGCAGAAAACACUAAAAGCUGAUUGUCUUCCAAUAUUCUAGCAUAAUUAAAAAACUUUGACUUUGUUAGUACAUAUUGUUACAGUCCUAAUGCCAAUAUGAUUCUUCAUAACGCCUGCUUUGAAAUACUGAGCUUAAAAAUUGACCUGAUGAAAGAUAAUUUACAGUCUGUCAGGAUAAUUCUGACUGUAAGAUCACUGUAUUAAUCUGAAUCCUUCUGCAAUGUGCUGUGAAUGAAUGCUGAUGCAACUGACUGUGGGAAAGCUGUUAAUAAAAUGAAUCUGUGACACAUGCAACACAUUCACAGAGGAAGAGGACACAAAGGGAGGACACGCAGAGGCUGUGUUAAAGUCAGAAAUCCAAAUCUUUAGUCAAAAACAGGCGGCGGUUACAAACAGGAAGACAAGCAGUCCAUCAAACAGUCUACAGGGUCAAACAUGCAGAGAAUUCAAACAACAGUAAAAAAUAACUGAACACUGAAAAACUUAAAGCAAUGUGAGACGCAAUUAAAGGAAGCAGCGCAGUAUAUUCACUGAAUUACAAAAUUACAAAAGAGAAAAACGACAAUUUCUAAGGAUUAUUUGCUUAAUUGCAGUUAAGAGUGUGGCUGGUAAAGAUGGAAACAUACAGAAUGUAAACUGUGUGAGUUUGGUGAACUUUGUUAGUAACAAAUGAGGUAAAAAAAAA